GACGAACGCUGGCGGCGUGCUUAACACAUGCGAGUCGAACGGACAGACAGAGAGCUUGCUCUCUUGAAGUUAGUGGCGAACGGGUGAGUAACGCGUAAUCAACCUGCCCUUCAGAGGGGGAUAACAACGGGAAACCGUUGCUAAUACCGCGUACGAUUCAUGAACGGCAUCGUUUAGGAAUGAAAGGUGGCCUCUAUGUAUAAGCUAUCGCUGCAGGAGGGGAUUGCGUCUGAUGAGCUAGUUGGAGGGGUAACGGCCCACCAAGGCGAUGAUCAGUAGCCGGUCUGAGAGGAUGAACGGCCACAUUGGGACUGAGACACGGCCCAAACUCCUACGGGAGGCAGCAGUGGGGAAUCUUCCGCAAUGGACGAAAGUCUGACGGAGCAACGCCGCGUGAGUGAUGUAGGUCUUCGGAUUGUAAAGCUCUGUUAAUCGGGACGAAAGAGUUCUGCGUGAAUAAUGCAGAAAAGUGACGGUACCGGAAUAGAAAGCCACGGCUAACUACGUGCCAGCCGCCGCAGUAA
rnacentral:rRNA from 1 species